CCUACGGGUGGCUGCAGUAGGGAAUCUUCCACAAUGGGCGAAAGCCUGAUGGAGCAACGCCGCGUGAGUGAAGAAGGUCUUCGGAUCGUAAAACUCUGUAGUCAGAGAAGAAAGUGCGCGAGAGUAACUGUUCACGCUUCGACGGUAUCUAACCAGACAGCCACGGCUAACUACGUGCCAGCAGCCGCGGUAAUACGUAGGGGGCAAGCGUUAUCCGGAUUUAUUGGGGGUAAAGGGAACGCAGGCGGUCUUUUAAGUCCGAUGUGAAAGCCUUCGGCUUAACCGGAGUAGUGCAUUGGAAACUGGGUGUCUUGAGUGCUGAAGAGGCGAGUGGAACUCCAUGUGUAGCGGUGAAAUGCGUAGAUAUAUGGAGGAACACCAGUGGCGAAGGCGGCUCUCUGGUCAGUAACUGACGCUGAGGUUCGAAAGCGUGGGUAGCAAACAGGAUUAGAUACCCGGGUAGUC
rnacentral:rRNA from 1 species